UGAGCCUGGAGAGGUGUUUGACUCGCCUUCUGCAGCAGUAUGAGCCACUCACCAGCUACUUCAAGUCAUUAAAUGAGAAACAACCAAGGUUUAGAAGGCUGGUGGAUGCAUUUUCUAACCCAUUAACAGAGGUGUACCUCCUCUUCUACCAAGCAACAUUGCCAGCCUUCUCCACCUUAAACCUCCUACUCCAGAGAGAGAAGUCCUUAAUCUUCCUUCUACAUGAAGAGAUGACAAAGUUCAUCCGCAAGUUGUGUGCAAAGUUUCUGAAGCUUGCAGCACUGCAGAACCAAGAAGUUCAUGAAAUCCAAUACAAGGACCCAUCAAACCAACUGC